rnacentral:rRNA from 1 species
GACGAACGCUGGCGGCGUGCUUAACACAUGCAAGUCGAACGGAAAGGCCCCUUUGGUGGUACUCGAGUGGCGAACGGGUGAGUAACACGUUAGUAACUUGCCCUUCACUUCGGGAGAACUUCAGGAAACUGGGGCUAAUACCGGAUAGGAAUCCUUGCCGCAUGGUGGGGGUUGGAAAGCUUCGGCGGUUUGGGAUGGACUCGCGGCUUAUCUGCUUGUUGGUGGGGUAGUGGCUUACCAAGGCUUUGACGGGUAGCCGGCCUGAGAGGGAGACCGGCCACAUGGGGAUAGGGGUAGGGCCAAGGCGCAAACGGGAGGAAGGAGGGGGAAAUUUUGCAAAAUGGGCGGAAGCAUGGAGCAGCAACGCCGGGUGGGGGAGGACGGCCUUCGGGUUGUAAACCGCUUUCGGCGGGGAAGAAGCUUGAGGGACGGUAACUGGCAAAGAAGCCACGGCUAACUACGUG